rnacentral:rRNA from 1 species
GACGAACGCUGGCGGCGUGUUUAACACAUGCAAGUCGAGCGGAAAGGCCACUUCGGUGGUACUCGAGCGGCGAACGGGUGAGUAACACGUGAGUAAUCUGCCCCUGGCUUUGGGAUAGCCACCGGAAACGGUGAUUAAUACCGGAUACGACCACUUCUCGCAUGGGAUGGUGGUGGAAAGUUUUUUCGGCCAGGGAUGUGCUCGCGGCCUAUCAGCUUGAUGGUGAGGUAAUGGCUCACCAUGGCUUCGACGGGUAGCCGGCCUGAGAGGGUGACCGGUCACACUGGGACUGAGACACGGCCCAAACUCCUACGGGAGGCAGCAGUGGGGAAUAUUGGACAAUGGGCGGAAGCCUGAUCCAGCAACGCCGCGUGAGGGAUGACGGCCUUCGGGUUGUAAACCUCUUUCAGCAGGGACGAAGCGCAAGUGACGGUACCUGCAGAAGAAGCACCGGCCAACUACGUGCCAGCCGCCGCAGUAA